rnacentral:rRNA from 1 species
GCGGAUGACUUGUGGCUGGGGGUGAAAGGCCAAUCAAACCGGGAGAUAGCUGGUUCUCCCCGAAAGCUAUUUAGGUAGCGCCUCGUGAAUUCAUCUCCGGGGGUAGAGCACUGUUUCGGCAAGGGGGUCAUCCCGACUUACCAACCCGAUGCAAACUGCGAAUACCGGAGAAUGUUAUCACGGGAGACACACGGCGGGUGCUAACGUCCGUCGUGAAGAGGGAAACAACCCAGACCGCCAGCUAAGGUCCCAAAGUCAUGGUUAAGUGGGAAACGAUGUGGGAAGGCCCAGACAGCCAGGAUGUUGGCUUAGAAGCAGCCAUCAUUUAAAGAAAGCGUAAUAGCUCACUGGUCGAGUCGGCCUGCGCGGAAGAUGUAACGGGGCUAAACCAUGCACCGAAGCUGCGGCAGCGAC